AAAAAUAUAGUUUAAAAAAAAUUAUUGAUUUGCAUUCAAUAGAUAUUAAAUUUAAUUAUUUUUA
rnacentral:tRNA from 1 species